CUAGGAAUUUUCCGCAAUGGACGAAAGUCUGACGGAGCAACGCCGCGUGAAGGAUGAAGGUCUUUCGGGAUUGUAAACUUCUUUUAUAUAGGAAGAGAAAGGACUGUACUAUAUGAAUAAGUCCCGGCUAACUACGUGCCAGCAGCCGCGGUAAUACGUAGGGGGCUAGCGUUGUUCGGAAUUACUGGGCAUAAAGGGUGCGCAGGCGGAUUGUCAAGCAAGGGGUGAAAUACCAUGGCUCAACCAUGGAACUGCCUUUUGGACUGAUGAUCUGGAGUACAGGAGGGGAGAGCAGAAUUUCCGGUGUAGGGGUGGAAUCUAUAGAUAUCGGAAAGAAUACCAUUCGCGAAGGCGGCUCUCUGGCCUGUUACUGACGCUCAUGCACGAAAGCGUGGGGAGCAAACA
rnacentral:rRNA from 1 species